rnacentral:rRNA from 1 species
GGGUUGUGAGGUUAAGCGACUAAGCGUACACGGUGGAUGCCUAGGCAAUCAGAGGCGAUGAAGGACGUGCUAAUCUGCGAUAAGCGUCGGUAAGGUGAUAUGAACCGUUACAACCGACGAUUUCCGAAUGGGGAAACCCAGUGCAAUUCGUUGCACUAUCGUUUGAUGAAUACAUAGUCAAACGAAGCGAACCGGGGGAACUGAAACAUCUCAGUACCCCGAGGAAAAGAAAUCAACCGAGAUUCCCCUAGUAGCGGCGAGCGAACGGGGAGCAGCCCAGAGUCUUAAUCAGCAUUAGCAUCAGGAGAACGGUCUGGAAAGUCCGGCAGUAAAGGGUGAUAGCCCCGUAUCCGAAGGUGUUAGUGUUGUGAACUCGACGAGUAGGGCGGGACACGUGUUAUCCUGUCUGAAUAUGGGGGGACCAUCCUCCAAGGCUAAAUACUCCUGAUUGACCGAUAGUGAACCAGUACCGUGAGGGAAAGGCGAAAAGAACCCCGGCGAGGGGAGUGAAAUAGAACCUGAAACCGUGUACGUACAAGCAGUGGGAGCCUUGAUUUAUCAGGGUGACUGCGUACCUUUUGUAUAAUGGGUCAGCGACUUAUAUUCUGUAGCAAGGUUAACCGUAUAGGGGAGCCGUAGGGAAACCGAGUCUUAACUGGGCGAAUAAGUUGCAGGGUAUAGACCCGAAACCCGGUGAUCUAGCCAUGGGCAGGUUGAAGGUUGGGUAACACUAACUGGAGGACCGAACCGACUAAUGUUGAAAAAUUAGCGGAUGACUUGUGGCUGGGGGUGAAAGGCCAAUCAAACCGGGAGAUAGCUGGUUCUCCCCGAAAGCUAUUUAGGUAGCGCCUCGUGAACUCAUCUUCGGGGGUAGAGCACUGUUUCGACUAGGGGGUCAUCCCGACUUACCAACUCGAUGCAAACUACGAAUACCGAAGAAUGUUAUCACGGGAGACACACGGCGGGUGCUAACGUUCGUCGUGAAGAGGGAAACAACCCAGACCGCCAGCUAAGGUCCCAAAGUCAUAGUUAAGUGGGAAACGAAGUGGGAAGGCUCAGACAGCCAGGAUGUUGGCUUAGAAGCAGCCAUCAUUUAAAGAAAGCGUAAUAGCUCACUGGUCGAGUCGGCCUGCGCGGAAGAUGUAACGGGGCUAAACUAUGCACCGAAGCUGCGGCAGCGAUAUGUAAAUAUUGUUGGGUAGGGGAGCGUUCUGUAAGCCUGUGAAGGUGUGCUGUGAGGCAUGCUGGAGGUAUCAGAAGUGCGAAUGCUGACAUAAGUAACGAUAAUGCGGGUGAAAAACCCGCACGCCGGAAGACCAAGGGUUCCUGUCCAACGUUAAUCGGGGCAGGGUGAGUCGACCCCUAAGGCGAGGCAGAAAUGCGUAGUCGAUGGGAAACGGGUUAAUAUUCCCGUACUGGUGAUAAUUGCGAUGGGGGGACGGAGAAGGCUAGGCUAUCCGGGCGACGGUUGUCCCGGUUUAAGGAUGUAGGCAGGUGAAUUAGGCAAAUCCGGUUCACUAUAUGCUGAGGUCCGAUGACGAGUCACUACGGUGAUGAAGUAGCUCAUGCCCCGCUUCCAGGAAAAGCCUCUAAGCUCUAGAUUAUCAUUAAUCGUACCCCAAACCGACACAGGUGGUCAGGUAGAGAAUACUCAGGCGCUUGAGAGAACUCGGGUGAAGGAACUAGGCAAAAUGGUGCCGUAACUUCGGGAGAAGGCACGCUGGCAUUAGGUGAAGUGAUUUACUCAUGGAGCUGAAGCCAGUCGCAGAUACCAGCUGGCUGCAACUGUUUAUUAAAAACACAGCACUGUGCAAACACGAAAGUGGACGUAUACGGUGUGACGCCUGCCCGGUGCUGGAAGGUUAAUUGAUGGGGUUAUCCGUAAGGAGAAGCUCUUGAUCGAAGCCCCAGUAAACGGCGGCCGUAACUAUAACGGUCCUAAGGUAGCGAAAUUCCUUGUCGGGUAAGUUCCGACCUGCACGAAUGGCGUAAUGAUGGCCAGGCUGUCUCCACCCGAGACUCAGUGAAAUUGAACUCGCUGUGAAGAUGCAGUGUACCCGCGGCAAGACGGAAAGACCCCGUGAACCUUUACUAUAGCUUGACACUGAACAUUGAGCCUUGAUGUGUAGGAUAGGUGGGAGGCUUUGAAGUGUGGACGCCAGUCUGCAUGGAGCCAACCUUGAAAUACCACCCUUUAAUGUUUGAUGUUCUAACGUUGCCCCGUUAUCCGGGGUGCGGACAGUGUCUGGUGGGUAGUUUGACUGGGGCGGUCUCCUCCCAAAGAGUAACGGAGGAGCACGAAGGUUGGCUAAGCAUGGUCGGACAUCAUGCGGUUAGUGCAAAGGCAUAAGCCAGCUUGACUGCGAGAGUGACGGCUCGAGCAGGUACGAAAGUAGGUCUUAGUGAUCCGGUGGUUCUGAAUGGAAGGGCCAUCGCUCAACGGAUAAAAGGUACUCCGGGGAUAACAGGCUGAUACCGCCCAAGAGUUCAUAUCGACGGCGGUGUUUGGCACCUCGAUGUCGGCUCAUCACAUCCUGGGGCUGAAGUAGGUCCCAAGGGUACGGCUGUUCGCCGUUUAAAGUGGUACGCGAGCUGGGUUUAGAACGUCGUGAGACAGUUCGGUCCCUAUCUGCCGUGGGCGUUGGAAGAUUGAAAGGGGCUGCUCCUAGUACGAGAGGACCGGAGUGGACGCACCACUGGUGUUCGGGUUGUCAUGCCAAUGGCAUUGCCCGGUAGCUAAGUGCGGAAGAGAUAACCGCUGAAAGCAUCUAAGCGGGAAACUUGCCUUGAGAUGAGUCUUCCCUGACUCUUUAAGAGUCCUAAAGGAACGUUUAAGACUAAGACGUUGAUAGGUUGGGUGUGUAAGCGUAGCGAUACGUUGAGCUAACCAAUACUAAUGAACCGUGAGGCUUAACCUGACAACACCGAAGGUGUUUUAG